AGGUACUUAGGAUAACAUU
rnacentral:tRNA from 1 species